GACGAACGCUGGCGGCGUGCUUAACACAUGCAGGUCGAGCGGUAAGGCCCUUUCGGGGGUACACGAGCGGCGAACGGGUGAGUAACACGUGGGUGACCUGCCCUCAGCUCUGGGAUAAGCCUGGGAAACCGGGUCUAAUACUGGAUAUGACUCCAUGACGCAUGUUGUGGGGUGGAAAGCCUUGUGCGGCUGAGGAUGGGCCCGCGGCCUAUCAGCUUGUUGGUGGGGUGANGGCCUACCAAGGCGACGACGGGUAGCCGGCCUGAGAGGGCGACCGGCCACACUGGGACUGAGACACGGCCCAGACUCCUACGGGAGGCAGCAGUGGGGAAUCUUGCGCAAUGGGCGAAAGCCUGACGCAGCGACGCCGCGUGAGGGAUGACGGCCU
rnacentral:rRNA from 1 species